rnacentral:tRNA from 1 species
UGAGGUGUGCUCAGUGGUAGAGUAUUUGUUUUGCAUGUAUAAGAACCUGGGUUCAAUCCCCAGCACUGCAA